CGUAUACGGUGGAUGCCUUGGCAGUUAGAGGCGAUGAAGGACGUGUAAGUCUGCGAAAAGCUGUGGUGAGCCGACAAAAUGCAUUUGAGCCACAGAUGUCCGAAUGGGGAAACCCACCUAUUUAUAGGUAUCGUUAACUGAAUACAUAGGUUAACGAGGCAAACGAGGGGAACUGAAACAUCUAAGUACCCUUAGGAAAAGAAAUCAACCGAGAUUCCCCUAGUAGCGGCGAGCGAACGGGGAGCAGCCCUUAAGCUGUUUAGAAUUUAGUGGAAUCCUUUGGGAAGAGGAGCGAUACAAGGUGAUAGCCCUGUACACGACGGAUUCUUUACAGUGAAAUCGAGUAGGUCGGGACACGUGUUAUCUUGACUGAAUAUGGGGGGACCAUCCUCCAAGGCUAAAUACUCCUAACUGACCGAUAGUGAACCAGUACCGUGAGGGAAAGGUGAAAAGCACCCCGACGAGGGGAGUGAAACAGUUUCUGAAACCGGACGCCUACAAGCAGUCGGAGGGGCCUUGAGCCCUGACGGCGUACCUUUUGUAUAAUGGGUCAUCGACUUGGUCUCACGAGCAAGCUUAAGCCGUUAGGUGUAGGCGCAGCGAAAGCGAGUCUUAAUAGGGCGCAUGAGUUCGUGGGAUCAGACCCGAAACCGAGUGAUCUAGGCAUGACCAGGAUGAAGGUAAGGUAACACUUACUGGAGGUCCGAACCCACACCUGUUGAAAAAGGUCGGGAUGAGUUGUGCCUAGGGGUGAAAGGCCAAUCAAACUCGGAGAUAGCUGGUUCUCUGCGAAAUCUAUUUAGGUAGAGCGUCAUCCGAAUACCCCGGGGGGUAGAGCACUGGAUGGGUAAUGGGGCCCCACAGGCUUACUGAUCCUAACCAAACUCCGAAUACCCGGGAGUACUAGAUGGCAGACACACAGCGGAUGCUAACGUCCGUUGUGAAGAGGGAAACAACCCUGACCUCCAGCUAAGGCCCCUAAUUCAUGGCUAAGUGGGAAAGCAGGUGGGACGACCAAAACAACCAGGAGGUUGGCUUAGAAGCAGCCAUCCUUUAAAGAUAGCGUAACAGCUCACUGGUCUAAAUAAGAUGUCUUGCGGCGAAGAUGUAACGGGGCUCAAGCCAUGAGCCGAAGCUGAGGAUGCCGUAAGGCAUGGUAGCAGAGCG
rnacentral:rRNA from 1 species